AUCUUAUCGCACAAACAAUAAAAUGUAUAUACAAUAGCUAUAGAUUCAGUCAUGCAUUGCAGAUACUAAAACAACUUUAGCUUAAUGAAUCAGUUUUGGUAUAUAGAUCAUGCAUAUGCAGUCUUACUGCUCAAUUCUCUGCCAUUUAGGAGUUAAAUCAGUUUGUUUAUACAGCCGUAGUCACACCUCCCUGCAUGUGACUUGCACAGCCUUUCUAAACACUUCCUGAAACAUAACCUAGAAAUUCUAGGUUCCUGUAUUGUACAGUCUGUCUUAUAUAAUAUUUCUGUGCCUCCUGUGUGUGUGGUUAAAGUUCAAUUUACAAAGCAGGAGAUAAAAACUUCUAAAGCAACUUAAUGUCUGAAAGUGAAACAAUUUUUUUUCCAUGCAGGCUGUGUCAGUAGGGCUGUAUAAACAGAAAUAAAAGUGAUUUAACUCUUAAAUGGUAGAGAAAUAGCAUUAAAACAGCAGAGGGCAUG